rnacentral:misc_RNA from 1 species
GAUGAAGAACGUAGCGAAAUGCGAUAAGUAAUGUGAAUUGCAGAAUUCAGUGAAUCAUCGAAUCUUUGAACGCACAUUGCGCCCGCCAGUAUUCUGGCGGGCAUGCCUGUCCGAGCGUCAUUUCAACCCUCAAGCCCCCGGGCUUGGUGUUGGAGAUCGGCGAGCCCCCCGGGGCGCGCCGUCUCCCAAAUAUAGUGGCGGUCCCGCUGUAGCUUCCUCUGCGUAGUAGCACACCUCGCACUGGGAAACAGCGUGGCCACGCCGUAAAACCCCCCACUUCUGAAAGGUUGACCUCGGAUCAGGUAGGAAUACCCGCUGAACUUAAGCAUAUCAAAAGCGGAGGA